GCUACACAUGCAGUCGAGCGGUAACAGAAGUAGCUUGCUACUUUGCUGACGAGCGGCGGACGGGUGAGUAAUGCUUGGGAACAUGCCUUGAGGUGGGGGACAACAGUUGGAAACGACUGCUAAUACCGCAUAAUGUCUACGGACCAAAGGGGGCUUCGGCUCUCGCCUUUAGAUUGGCCCAAGUGGGAUUAGCUAGUUGGUGAGGUAAUGGCUCACCAAGGCGACGAUCCCUAGCUGGUUUGAGAGGAUGAUCAGCCACACUGGGACUGAGACACGGCCCAGACUCCUACGGGAGGCAGCAGUGGGGAAUAUUGCACAAUGGGCGCAAGCCUGAUGCAGCCAUGCCGCGUGUGUGAAGAAGGCCUUCGGGNUGUAAAGCACUUUCAGUCAGGAGGAAAGGUUAGNAGUUAAUACCUGCUAGCUGUGACGUUACUGACAGAAGAGCACCGGCUAACUCCG
rnacentral:rRNA from 1 species